UCUCCCUCCGCCGCUUCUUCACUCUCGCCUACUUUCUCUCUCCUCCCUUUACUCAAUCUCUCAUCUUCGAUCUCUCCUCCCUUCACUCAAUCUCCUUCACUCAAUCUCUCCUCCCUUCCGUCAAUCUCUCAUCUUCGAUCUUUCCUCAAACCCGACGAAUGGAACUUCAUCAUCUCAACGGGUUUCUCUUUAAAAUCACAGAAGCCUCAAAUUUGGGUUUUUAUAAAAAUCGAAGCUUUCUACAAUCUUCAAGAUACCCAGAUUACAAAGUUGGUGAUUAUGCAAUUUUUGAUUCUGAAAUUCAUCUUUUCUGUACCUGAAACUCGGGGAACUCCUGAUUAUGCUAAAGAUAAAGACCCUGCUAAUGGAAGAAGAUACCACAGUCGAACUCCUCCACCACGAGAGAGGUUGAAAUCCUAAGCAAGGAGAUGGUCACAAAUCAUUCACUAGAAGGGUUGAGGAUCAGUACAAGAAAGCGCUAAAAGAAGAGCCUUCCGUGUUUGAUUAUGAUGGUGUUUAUGAUGAUAUGAAAUCAAAAAUGGUUCAGCCGAAAGCCAAAGAUAGACAGCAACGCCAGGGGUAAAGUUUGGAUGAUUCCCACAAAGGAAGAUCUUGAGCGCUUCAGCUUUUGAGUAUGCACAUCUUACCCUCUCUCCUACCCUAUUGGCGGUUCCUUAUGAAUGGCUUAGUUAUAAAGAGGCGUAUGAUUCAACGCUUCAAAUCGGCUCAGCUAUUAGGAAAUGUGGAGUUAAUCCCGUGAGUACAAUUUUAUUCUCCAAUUUUACUUCAUUAUUGGCUCAACUAUUGAAUGAAGUACACAAAUUUCUUGAUGGAUAACUAUAGGAUCCCAUCUGUUGUGAUAUAAUAGAAGAGGCUUCAUUACUCUGUUAAGUAUUAUCGGAAUCAACCUAUUCAAUAUUGAAACCUUUAUUCACCUUCAAACUGUGGCUUUUCGAGAUUUUGUACCUUACUCUUUUUAUCACGAUACAUAUCUUCACAUGAGAUGGGUUCCUAUCGUUCUAAUUUCUGCUCACUCAGUGCAUAUUUCAAUUUCUGUUAGGUUAAAUUCUCUUCUUCUGUACUGUUGACAUCAUUCAAGUCCCAAUCUUUCCAAUUUACCAUAGUGUAAUCAUUUUAAGGUCACUUUAAUCACAACCUAAACCAAACUCAUAACAAUCAGAUGCGUGUUUCGAGGAUAAUCACCUCAAAAGCAGUUGAAGCCAUGCUCCUCAGUGAAGUACUCAAUGAAAAAUAGAUUUAGAAUUCUAGAAAGGAUUAAGAAAACCAAUAGAACAUAAUCUAUGCCAGACACAAAUAACCAGGUUUAGGUUCAGGUUCAUCCAAAACCGAGUUCUGAAUUGCAGGUUAAGAUAAUAGAUAUUCAGGUUGUAGCUUACAUGAGAUGUCUUCAGAGGGCUAAAUUAGUUCUUUUAGUGCCUUAAUAGUGAGUCUGGUGGUGCUUCUGUUUAAUAUGCAACAAGUGUGUUGGGAGCCUGUUGGCUUGCUGCUGGUUUUUUGGUGAGUGCAGGCUGGUAGCUUGCAUCUGUUUUACUGUUUUCAUAUUGGCCACAGCUUCUUUUGGUUGUUUCUGGACUAUGGUGCUCCUGUUUGUUUUGUGUAUGCAGGGGGUUUGCUUAAUAUGGUUUAAAUUGGUAAAUUUAGCCACCUUAUGCCUUCACAGUCCAGUAGUAUUGUUGAUAGUGCUUCUUUAAUGUGUUAUCUUUUGUCUUUGAUUUCUUUUGGCGAUGUAGGUAUUUCCAGCCAAGUAGAUUGUGCUAUCAAGAUACUCAACCUAGAGAUUAAGUUGGAUUCCAUAGUUUGUAUAAUAAAAUAUCGUAAAGAGCAGGAGAAAUAUAUUUAGUUACUUUGGUACUAAGAAUUUGAUUUUUAAUCAUGUAAGCGCAUGAAUAAAUUGUGUUACUAUUUAGAAUUUAAUUUUUUAAAUAGGGACGACUAAUUUUUCUUUAGAUUAGCUUUGCGAACAUUUUUUUCUUGCCUACUACAUAUUUGUGAUAAUUAAUUGUAAUACUACGAUUUUAUAUAAUCUCGCACGCAUCGCGUGCAUAUAAGACUAGUACGAAAUAUAAAGGAACGCACGGACGUCUUAAAUAAUGUUAAUUACCCUUUUUACUCCCCUUUGAUUUGAUUUUUUAAAUUAAAAAAUAAUUUUUUUUAUUUUGCUAACCAUAAACCGAUAAUGAAUGACUAUUUAAUAAUUUAUACGUAUG